rnacentral:lncRNA from 1 species
GACAGAUCCCUCCUUCCAGAACCUGCUCUCUGCUUGGUCUCCCCAAGGCUCCCCACUGGCCUGGAGCAGGCAUUGAAAGGGAGAGACUGCCUACCAGUGCUGCCCAGCCCUAACCCAGCCCAUCCCAGCCCAGGACCCUGCAUAGCUACUUCCUGCAACUGGAGCCUUCAGGACAGUGGAGGAAACCCAGAGGAGGGGACAGGGAGCAGGGACCCACUUGCUGCCACUGAACCCAGCACUCCAUGCAGCUACUCCUGCCAGCCCCCAGCUGGUGAACAACAGGUUGGGAAACUGAGACCACAACUUAUGUAGUAGAGGGAGUCAGUACUGAAGCUAAGGUGACUCACAGCAGUCUCCUGGAGAUUUACAUCUAAGUCCUGGAGACUCCAGGGCAAUCCUGCAAGACUGGAAACUUUCAGCAUCAAGUCCCGUCACUUCAGCAACAGGAUAUAGUAGUGCUCAGAUCAACAUGGUUGCCAUCUGUUUACAGGAGACAGAAUAGAAAGGCCCCAGGCCUUCACAGUUAUAGCCUAUACAUCCCCACAUUGCUGUAGUCAUGAUGAUCAUUCACUGACUCAAAAA